rnacentral:rRNA from 1 species
UAAUAGCGUAUAUUAAAGUUGUUGCAGUUAAAAAGCUCGUAGUUGGAUUUCUGGUUGAAGCGACCGGUCGGGCGUUGAUUCGUCUGCACUGGAGUCGGUUUUGGCCAUCCUCUAGGAAAGUGCGUCUGGUAUUAAGUUAUCGGGCGUAUGAUCCUGGUCUUUUACUGUGAAAAAAUUAGAGUGUUUAAAGCAGGCCUUCGCCUUGAAUACAUUAGCAUGGAAUAAUAAGAUAGGACUUUGGUCUAUUUUGUUGGUUUGCAGACCGAAGUAAUGAUUAAUAGGGAUAGUUGGGGGUAUUUAUAUUCCGAUGUCAGAGGUGAAAUUCUUAGAUUUUCGGAAGAUAAACUUAUGCGAAAGCAUUUACCAAGGAUGUUUUCAUUAA